UACAGAGGGGGCAAGCGUUGUUCGGAAUUACUGGGCGUAAAGGGCGCGUAGGCGGCCCUCUAAGUCGGACGUGAAAUCCCUGGGCUCAACCCAGGAACUGCGUCUGAUACUGGAAGGCUUGAAUCCGGGAGAGGGGUGCGGAAUUCCAGGUGUAGCGGUGAAAUGCGUAGAUAUCUGGAGGAACACCGGUGGCGAAGGCGGCAUCCUGGACCGGUAUUGACGCUGAGGCGCGAAAGCCAGGGGAGCAAACGGG
rnacentral:rRNA from 1 species